UUAGUUAUUCUCCAACUGUUGUUGUUUCCCGCCCCCAACUAUCAUCAUUUUCAACCAUCGCCGUUAACUAUCACCAAUACCGACAAUUAUCUCUACCAAACACUAAAAGAGAUCAUAAAUGACUAUUUUUACGCACCAUGCAAUUACCAUGACUAAAUCCUAAUAACAUCUAUGCUCACCACUAGAACCUGUCGAUGCUACCAAUAAUUAUUCUCAACCGACGUCAAUUGCCACUACCUUUAUCAUUUGCCACCGCCGCAAAAUCUCAAUCGGUGUUAAGUAUCCUAGUCACUAACUAGCAUUACCAGUCACUGAUCGUUUUCACCCAGCACCUUUCAACACAAUGAUCGACCACCACUGCUGGCUGUUAAGACUACUGCUUAUCCACUAUUAUUGACUAUCGUAAUCGCCAACAUAGUCAUCAUUAUCAUCUAUCAUCAUGCUCACCAUCGCCGGCCACUACUAGCCUAGCU
rnacentral:lncRNA from 1 species